CACACGGGCACGUAUGCAUCGAAGGAGAGCCGGGGUACGGCCGGCGCCGCCGCCACCUGCGGAUGGUCUUCCUGUCCGGCCAUCCGCGCAGCCCACGCGGGCGAGCUGCCGAUGUGGCUGGGCUGCCGGGCCACGCAGCGGUCGGCAGCGGUUCGAGCAUCUCCUCGACGUAGGGGAAAAGGUUGGCGGCGCUGGAGUUCAUCGGAACGGGCAGGCGGCCGGUGGGUGACGCGAGGCCGCGGCGCCGGUGCGAGCAAUACGGGCGGAUCCGGGGGCGGCAACGACCGAUCUGGCUGCUGGUGCGGCGGCUUGCUCCGGUGGCGGCGGCGUCCUGCUCAUCCAUAGAAAGAGAGACGGGGCAUGAGGGAGAAAGGAAGAAAGGAGAAGGAGCAGGGGGCGUAGAGUCAGGGAGGCGGUCGCUACCGGUGGCAGCUCCGGCGACCGGCCGGCAGGCUUUCCAGGCAAGGCUAUGGAUUACGCUAGCCUUAGAUUCAAUAGAGACACGGUGAUUCUGGUCGGAGCCGUGGCUACGUGAUUCUGGCCGGCGUGCAUCCAUAGUCAGAGGAUGCCGAGCCUUCCUCGCUGCCAGCAACAUCAGCUCGUCUCGGCAUGAGAGGGGAAGAUUGGCAGUUAGAGCUUCGUCACUUGCUGAUCUAACAGUAUAGACAAGCAAUGCAAGCCAACAAAGAAAAUUAGUUAGGGAAGCACCGAGUUCGCUGGAGGUAGCAGAACGUUUGUCGAGCCAUCCAAUAUUGCCAACGGUGCCUACACCAGAGAUAAUUUGCUUCAGUUAAUCGAACUACCUGCUGAAACAUGUGUAUUGUUUCUCAAUAUAUUGGGCAUCAAUUCACCUCUCAUGAGAUCUCUGAAUAGUCUACGCAUAUUGUAUUUGCUGAAUUAUUUCCUCCAGAUAACUAUGCUUGGAUUCACAAAUGCGUGCAAUACUUUCAAGUAGAGGUUAGUUCGAUACUUAAGUUGUGAUAUUCCACUUUCAACUUUUUGGUCCUAGAAGUGUAAUACUUGGUAGGUUAGCUGCAAAAGCGGAAUGUAUAUGGCCUAAAUUUAUAUUUCAGAGUGUAUAAUCUGAUUCAGAGUAUUUUGACCCCUUGCGUUCUAAAACGUUUUGUUGUAUCGUUC